rnacentral:rRNA from 1 species
UACGUAGGGUGCGAGCGUUAAUCGGAAUUACUGGGCGUAAAGCGUGCGCAGGCGGCUUUGUAAGCCAGAUGUGAAAUCCCCGGGCUCAACCUGGGAAUGGCAUUUGGGACUGCAAGGCUGGAGUUUGGCAGAGGAGACUGGAAUUCCCGGUGUAGCAGUGAAAUGCGUAGAUAUCGGGAGGAAUACCGAUGGCGAAGGCAGGUCUCUGGGCUAUAACUGACGCUCAUGCACGAAAGCGUGGGGAGCAAACAGG